rnacentral:lncRNA from 1 species
GGAAAACAUAACCUUAAAUAACUAGGAAACCAAUAAAUAUAGUCUCAUAAUAUAUGGAAAUAAGUUUGAAACAAAUCUUGGAUAGAAUCUUAAGAAUCAUGGAAAUCUUGAACGAAAUUUGCAAGCAAGUUGGCACCAACUUGCAUUCAACAUCUAGCAUGACUAUUUUUCCCUUCUUGGACCUCAAGCAAGUCAUUUUUAUACUAUAAAUUGUGGCUUUAUGUAGGACUUUAUCGGCUGCAAGUUUGGACACAUAUUUGGUGUUAAAUUGGUCCAAUAGUAGUUUGAUUUAGGCCUUCUUAAGAAGAGUUAGGGGUUUAUGAUUCAUAAUAUAUUAACUGAUAAAAGAGAAGGCAGAAUACAACAUGCUUAAUGAUGGAACUGAGUUAAAUACAAGCAGGAUGCAAACAGGAAUGACAUAUAUAGUAAGGAAACAUGUGGUUGUUGAUGCUGAAAAUUAGUUAGAAUAUACCAGUUCAAAGAAGAAAAAUGUAAUAAAUAAAGGUAGCAGGACUCUGAGAUAUAGCUUUGGCUUUUAGCAGCUCUGCAUGCCACAUUACAAGUACUAAAUCAAGAGAGUGUUUUGAGUGUAAAUUUUGAGUUCAGAACUAGAAGUGUUUGUGUGUGUUAAUGAGUGAAAAUGUAUAUAUGGUAGUUUGAAAACCAUGUAAAUAAGGCAAGAAUAAUAAUUAUAUAUAUGGUAGUUUGAAAACCAUGUAAAUAAGACAAUUAGGGGUAAGUACAUAAGGAUUCAACUUGGGAAACAACUAAUGGAGAAUCGCUAAAAUACUCGGUUUAACCAAACAAGGCAAGAAACACAAUAAAAUUUGCAGAAUAUAGAGACAAUCAGAAUAUAGUAAAUCAGGGAGUUAGGGAUUCAAAAUUACUUACUUAAGGAGAAUAACAUGGGUUCCCAUGAAUAAGAAAAUAAACCAAGUUAAAAUAAGAUAAUCAACAUUUUAAAGGGAUGUUUUCAAAUCAAGCCAAGAAACAGGGAACUCAGAGUCAGUCAAAUAAAGAGUCGUGAGUCCUGUUUUAGCAUAUAAAUAGAGUGUGAUAUGAGUAACUAGAAGUAACAAGAAAAUAGGCAAGUCUUGACUAGUCAAGACGAACACAAGCAUGUAAGUGUGGAAUAAGAAACUUAGUAGAAACACAUUCGACGUGAGAUAGUCACAAAAACUCACACAAGAAAAGGCCCGUCAAAAAGUCAAAUGAAGAACCAUAGAAAAAUUAGGGAUUUCAACAUAGGCGAGUUAAAGAGAGGAUAAAAACCCAGAAUCUGAAGAAUCACACAAAAGGAACAAGAGAUUUUGAAAAGAACUUCAGCACUUGAAAGAACACUCUCAGACCCAAAACCAUAAGAUUUUCCCCAUUAGAAAGGUUUUAAAAAGGGAAUAAAUAGACAGAUUGGACAAAACACUAGCGAACAACAUUCACUUAAGAAACAGUUACAGAAAUUAGGGCUUUUAACAUGCGAAGUCAAGCAAUAGGAUAAUACGAACAAACACAACAAAACAUAUAAAAAAUCAAAGAAAUGAUUCAAAAUAACUUAACAAAAUCUUAAUCAGAAAGAUAAGAAGUUUUGAAGGUAGAUUUUUAAAAGAAACUUUAAGAAAAACGUUUAGAAGCUUAGAGCAAACACAUAUCUAAAACAGAUCUAAAAGAAAUCGGAAUAACCUUAAAGGUUAGAGUUUUAGAAGAACCACAAGUGGUGAGAAAGGCAUUGAAAAUCAUCGAUCUAAGUAGGAGAGUUAAGAGUGAUACUCGAAUAGCCAUGGCUGGCCAGAGAAAAGUCAGAGAUGAUCAGAGAACAGCCAUAAAAUGAAAUCACCCAAGGUCUGAACCAAACUUCUUCAAGAUCUGACCUUGAAAUCAUAAUAAUCGAACAUACAAAAGCUAAGGGGGUGGAUACAGGACUCCAAUGACCUUGGAAGCCAUGAAUUCGGGAGAUUUUCAUGUAGUACUUUAGGGUGCUGUCUGGGGUUUGAGAGGGAUUUGAGAGAGGAUUCAGAGAAAAGGUGAUUCAGAGGCGGUCGAGUGUGGGAAA